CUUCGAAACACCAGAGGCUGCCAUGGCCCAAGGGCCAAAAGAAGAAAGCAGAUGAAGACAUUCUAGACUGGCUUCAGGCUAUGUUUGGAUUUCAGAAGGAUAAUGUGGCAAAUCAGAGGGAGCACUUGAUAUUGUUGCUGGCAAAUAUGCAUAUUCAGCGAUUUCAGCCUGAUCAGCAGCCCAGGUUGGAUGACACCGCACUUACAGAAGUUAUUAAGAAACUUUUCAAAAACUACAAAAAAUGGUGCAACUAUUUGGGUCGUAAAAGCAGUCUUUGGUGAGUGGAGAUUUUUACUUUCUUAUUUU